GGAAGCGUGGCCGAGCGGUUGAAGGCACCGGUCUUGAAAACCGGCAAGGGGCAACCCUUCGUGAGUUCGAAUCUCACCGCUUCCGCCA
rnacentral:tRNA from 1 species